GACGAACGCUGGCGGCGUGCUUAACACAUGCAAGUCGAACGGAAAGGCCUGCUUUCCCUUGUGGAUUGCGGGUACUCGAGUGGCGAACGGGUGAGUAACACGUGAGUGAUCUGCCCCCAACUUGGGUAUAAGCCUGGGAAACUGGGUCUAAUUCCCGAUAGGACUGCAGGGUGGUGCCGGUGGUGGAAAACGAUUUUCUAGUGGUGGGGGUUGAGCUCGCGGCCUAUCAGCUGGUUGGUGGGGUAAUGGCCUACCAAGGCGGCGACGGGUAGCCGGCCUGAGAGGGUGGACGGCCACAUUGGGACUGAGAUACGGCCCAGACUCCUACGGGAGGCAGCAGUGGGGAAUAGUGCACAAUGGGCGGAAGCCUGAUGCAGCGACGCCGCGUGGGGGAUGACGGCCUUCGGGUUGUAAACUCCUUUCGACCGCGAGGAAGCCACCUGGUUGGAAGGGUGGUGACGGUAGUGGUAGAAGAAGCACCGGCUAACUACGUG
rnacentral:rRNA from 1 species